rnacentral:misc_RNA from 1 species
GAUGAAGAACGUAGCGAAAUGCGAUACUUGGUGUGAAUUGCAGAAUCCCGUGAACCAUCGAGUCUUCGAACGCAAGUUGCGCCCGAAGCCAUUAGGCCGAGGGCACGCCUGCCUGGGCGUCACACGUCGUUGCCCCCCCAUCUACUCCUUCGGGAUUGCGGGGGGCGGAUGAUGGCCUCCCGUGCGCCUCGUCGCGCGGUUGGCAUAAAUACCAAGUCCUCGGCGACGCACGCCACGACAAUCGGUGGUUGCGAAACCUCGGUUGCCCGUCGUGUGCGGUCGUCGCGCAUCGAGGGCUCGAAAAAAUUGCCGGGCUCCGGCUCGGCUUUCAACGCGACCCCAGGUCAGGCGGGGUUACCCGCUGAAUUUAAGCAUAUCAAUAAGCGGAGGA